GAUGAACGCUGACAGAAUGCUUAACACAUGCAAGUCAACUUGAAUUUGGGUUUUUAACUUAGGUUUGGGUGGCGGACGGGUGAGUAACGCGUAAAGAACUUGCCUCACAGCUAGGGACAACAUUUGGAAACGAAUGCUAAUACCUAAUAUUAUGAUAAUAGGGCAUCCUAUAAUUAUGAAAGCUAUAAGCGCUGUGAGAGAGCUUUGCGUCCCAUUAGCUAGUUGGAGAGGUAACGGCUCACCAAGGCGAUGAUGGGUAGCCGGCCUGAGAGGGUGAUCGGCCACAAGGGGACUGAGACACGGCCCCUACUCCUACGGGAGGCAGCAGUGGGGAAUAUUGGACAAUGGACCGAGAGUCUGAUCCAGCAAUUCUGUGUGCACGAUGAAGUUUUUCGGAAUGUAAAGUGCUUUCAGUUGGGAAGAAACAAAUGACGGUACCAACAGAAGAAGUGACGGCUAAAUACGUG
rnacentral:rRNA from 1 species